rnacentral:rRNA from 1 species
AUUGCACGCUGGCGGCAGGCCUAACACAUGCAAGUCGAACGAGUGGCGGACGGGUGAGUAAUGUCUGGGACACUGCCCGAAGGAGGGGGAUAACUACUGUAAACGGUAGCUAAUACCGCAUACCACCGAAUGUGCCCAGAUGGGAUUAGCUAGUAGGUGGGGUAAAGGCUCACCUAGGCGACGAUCCCUAGCUAGUCUGAGAGGAUGACCAGCCACACUGGAACUGAUACCCGGUCCAGACUCCUACGAGAGGCAGCAGUGGGGAAUAGUGCACAAUGGGCGCAAGCGUGAUGCAGCCAUGCCGAGUGUAUGAAGAAGGCCUUCGGGUUGUAAAGUACUUUAAGCGGGGAGGCGUUAUCCGCAAAAGAAGCACCGGCUAACUCCGUGCCAGCAGCCGCGGUAAUAC